GACCUGUUAGAAAACAAUUUGAAAUUAUUGUCGAAAAUGUAUAAAUUGCUCUUGGAAUGGUAUGCAAAAGAUGAACAGGUUAAAUUUGUAAUGAUACACUGGGCAACGGAUUUGGGGCAUAAUAUUCAGGUUUCAGAUUGGGAAAGGCUACGGAAAACAGAUUUGAAAUUCACAGCAUGUUGUACGCUGAAAAAAAUUUAUAUGAAAAUCAUGUACCAGUGGUAUUUGACUCCUAGCAAGUGAGCAAAAAUGUAUAAAGCAAGUACAAAUACCUGCUGGAAAUGUAAAGAAAAAGAAGGUACCUUUUAUCAUAUGUGGUGGCCACGUAAGGUAGUAAAAGCUUUCUGGGAAAUGAUAUACAGUGGUACCUCAGGUUACAGACGCUUCAGGUUAUAUACGCUUCAGGUUACAGACUCCGCUAACCCAGAAAUAGUACCUCGGUGUCAGGGAACUGACAUCGGAGCGAGAGGCGAAGGGGAGGCUCCUAGAUGAUGCUGGCGAAGGACCCAGCAGCAGGGGGAGAAACAGCUCAGUAGAGGGGGAAGCAAAUCAGCGCAACACCAGGGAUAAAGGGGGGCAGAUGGGGGAAGCGGAGAGAGGGCUCCAGGACUCUUCACUGGACCUCAGUGAGGAGGGGACAGGUCCUCCGCUACCCACGCCCUCCCUGCGCAGAAGACUCCCGCGCAAUGAGAGGAGGAGGAGACUGGGGGUCAAACAACUUUUAUGUUGGAAGAGGUUCAAGAAACACCCACUGAUGGAUUCUGCCAGCGACUGAGGCAGUCAUGAUUAGAAAGGGCUGUGCAGUCAGAAAGGUUUAACAAGGCAAAUCAGCCUAGAGAGGCACCAGUUUACGCACGAGUAACUCAUACCCAUUACACUCGGGUUAAGAACUUUGCUUCAGGAUGAGAACAGAAAUCGUGUAGCGGCGACGCGGCAGCAGCAGGAGUCCCCAUUAGCUAAAGUGGUGCUUCAGGUUAAGAACAGUUUCAGGUUAAGAACGGACCUCUGGAACGAAUUAAGUACGUCAUCAGAGGUACCACUGUAUAAUAAAUUGAAAAAAAUGUUUAAAAUAACUUUUGUAAAAACAAACAAACCAGAAGCUUUUCUAUUAGGAACUGUAGACACUGAUAUUCUAAAGCAGGCAUAGGCAAACUCGGCCCUCCAGAUGUUUUGAGACUACAAUUCCCAUCAUCCCUGACCACUAGUCCUGUUAGCUAGGGAUGAUGGGAGUGUUAGGAUAUUUCCGUUCCACCUUAAAAGGGAGCAGGCUUUGUGAGUCAGAGUCUGCGCAUGUCCUGUUCACAGGAUGUUUAUGUUUGCUAUUGCUUUCGUUUCUCUCUAUGUCUGGAGACAUCGAUGCAGGCAGUCAUGGUUUUCUUUGUUCUGAUCAACGCUGAAUAAAACUUGUAAAUAAUGCUCUCCUGAGUGCAACUUUUGGCUGUGCAUUAUCUGCUGAUAGAGUGUGCAUGAGCUCUGGAAUGUGGCAAGCUAUUUCUAGAAACUCAUGUCACUAAUUGCUGAUACCGCGUGACUACGGGAGAUCGAUGGAUCGUCCGGCAGCCGGCUUGGGGGCCAUGAUGGACUUUGUCUCCCUGGCAGUAUCCCAACAGGGAGUUGUAGUCCCAAAACAACUGGAGGGCCGAGUUUGCCCAUGUCUGCUCUAUACCAUCUAGAUGGAUCACGGUCUUGAAGCAUAGAGGCUGAAAAGGAAUUUGAUGUUGUUCUGUAAUGUACUUUCAGCCAGGCCUUGGUUAUAAUGAGCCAUGUGUUGGUUUCCAUCAGAUGAACCAGGAAGGGACCAUCCCCAGGCGGGCGAAGCGAAAAAUAUUUCUUGGCAUCCUUAACUGGACGAAGGCCGGGCUCACCAGUGGCUGGGAAGAAGAUCCCCCCCCCCACAUGCCGAGCAAGCUGAGACCCUCAACUCCCAUGCCCAGGGGGUGCAGACUGCGACCGGGGCAAACUGGACUGGAAUGCCUGCUGUAUCAUGCACUCAUACUCCUAGGCCGACCCCUGGGACUGGCUGGGACUGGGAUCCUAGAAGGCUGGAAUUGGGAGAACAAGGCACCAGAGGAAUCAAAAGCCUCACUCCCUUCACUCGUGUCAGAGGGACCAUGAGCCUCAAAAACAGUAGACAAGGUGGAAGGGCCAGGCUGCCUUGGAUGCUUUAGCUGAGAUUCCUGCAUUGCAGGGGGUUAAACAAGAUGACCCUUGGGUCCUUUCCAGCUGUAUGAUUCUAUGAAUGCCAGAGUCUUUCUUUUCAAAGAUUGGGGAGAUGCUUAACAAUACAAUAUAUAGACUUUGUAGCAGGUUUGCUUGCAAAGUGCUGUAAGACUGAAGAUUUGAGGCUGGACCUCCAAGUCUGAAGGGAGGGGGGGGGGGUUCCUCCA
rnacentral:lncRNA from 1 species